CUCUGAAUCGUAAACUCCUGUCGGCCGGGAAGAAUGGUCGGGGUGCUAAUCAGCCCGAUUUGACUGUACCGGCAAACGGAAGCCCCGGCUAAACUCCCGUGC
rnacentral:rRNA from 1 species